AGGUGAACCUGCGGAAGGAUCAAUUA
rnacentral:rRNA from 1 species